AUGGGCCUUCCCGCCAAACAUGCAGGGGCUUCCCUGGGGAUUUCCUCAGGGACAAUCCCGGGGAAGGGUGGAGACCACCUCUUCUGGAAGGAGAUGACCUCUGAGUCUGUGGUCCUAUCUCCUGGGCUCAGGAAACUGGAAGCUGAAAGAACACCCGUAUUAUAUUACACCUCGUGAUUCCAGAUGGAGGGGAAGGCUUGACAGAAUGGACCUAAGGUCUCAUUGCAAGAGGCAGCCUGAUUUCUACCAAGAACCCUUCUAUCUCUCAGCUGAUGACCCUCUGCCUUCUGGAAGAUGUAUAUGUAAUUUGACACCAGGAUUCUUCUUUUAAAAGAUGGGCCAACUGAGGACCUAGAGUUUUGGUUUCUUACUCAAGAAGGCAGGAGCCAAAUUUCCCAUUAUCACUAUGUCUUCUGUACCUGUCAUUAUACCUGGCACAUAUAGGCAUUCAAUAAAAUAUUUGUUUAAUAAAUG